rnacentral:rRNA from 1 species
AACGCGAAGAACCUUACCCAGGCUUGACAUGCAGUGGACAGUGGUGGAAACACCAUCUCUCUUCGGAGCCGCUGCACAGGUGCUGCAUGGCUGUCGUCAGCUCGUGCCGUGAGGUGUUUGGUUAAGUCCAGCAACGAGCGCAACCCUUAUCAUUAGUUGCCAACACGCGAGGUGGGAACUCUAAUGAGACUGCCCGGGUUAACCGGGAGGAAGGUGAGGAUGACGUCAAGUCCGCAUGGCCUUUAUACCUGGGGCUACACACGUUCUACAAUGGUCGGUACAGAAGGCAGCAAGACCGCAAGGUGGAGCAAAUCCCUAAAACCGAUCUCAGUUCGGAUUGUAGUCUGCAACUCGGCUACAUGAAGUUGGAAUUGCUAGUAAUGACGUGUCAGCAAUAACGUCGUGAAUACGUUCCCGGGCCUUGUACACACCGACAUA